rnacentral:lncRNA from 1 species
UAUGUGUAUUUAACAACCUUGUCUAUAGACAUGGAUUCUUAAACUCUUAAGAGUAGAUCUUGGAUCUAUGCUAUCUGAGGCCCCCACCCACGCUGUUAGGAACACUUUCAGAUUAUUUCAGACACUUGGGUAUAGACAGAUUCCUUUUCAAUGCAAAGAGAUGCUUCAUCCUGUUGUUAGUGACGCUGACUCAUACAAAAUAGAACUUUUUGCAUAAUUUGUUAAUAUUGCAGCCAAGAUCCAAGUGAAUGAUUGGUUUAGCAUUGGCAAAUCCCUCAGCAUAUUAUGGUUAAAAACUUCCAUGAUUUGUGGCAAAGUCUGUACAUCAUCCUAAGGGACCCAAGGUUUGUCACUGUUCACUGGAUUUCAGUUCCCUGAUCUGUAUGCCAGGAAGGUCGGUAAAAACCCUGUCCAGUUAUAGUAAUUUACAGAGGAAGGUACGUGAAUGUUGAAGGGGAGUUUUCCAUCUGUUCUCUCUGCAUGUUCCAGAAUUGUUUUGUCCUUAAGUGAGCAAGAGUGUGCUCCUUGGAUCAGCAGCAUCAGUAUCACCUGGGAACUCAUUAAAAGUGAAGACUCCUAGGCCUUAUCCCAGACCUGUUGAAUCUGAACGUGUAUUUUAACCAGGCUCCUAGAAGGUCUGUGUGCACAUUAAAAUGUGAACAGCACUGCUGUCCAGCAGAGGUCCUACAGAGAUCAGUGUGCUUCCUGUUACUAAUCCAGGUUGAUUUUCAGCUCCACCCCAGGCCCACUGAGUCAGAACCUUGGGAAGGAGGGCCCUGGAAUUUUAUUUUUAUUGUCAUGCACACUAAUAUGUGAGAAUCAGCAUAUUAGGGAAAGGAGACCAACUCCAGCUUUAUAUAUUUUUUUCAGAAUAGAUAUUUCUUUUUAUUUUGGAUAAUUCUCCUGUUGGACAUAAGCUGAUCAGUAGGCACAAACAGGCAGAUUUGAUUUGAAAGAACUUCUGCAAUAGUAAAUAGUAAUUCUGUAAUGUACAAAAUACUUACUUUUUUCUAGCAAUGCUAUUUCUCAUUUAUUUUUAUCAUAAUUUAUGAUGCUAUGUAUUUUUUUCUCUAAGACUGUAAUUCAACCAG